CGGACGACUGCGGGAGAGACUGGAUUUACUCCAGCGCCGAAGGAGCAACCGCCCCGGAAACUCUCAGGCAAACGGACCGCAGCCGGCCG
rnacentral:ncRNA from 2 species